UCCCUGGUGGCUUCAGAUGGUAAAGAAUCAGCCUGCAAUGCAGAAGGCCCAGGUUUGAUCCCUGGCUUGGGAA
rnacentral:tRNA from 1 species